rnacentral:rRNA from 1 species
AGCUAGUUGGUGAGGUAACGGCCCACCAAGGCGACGAUCGGUAGCCGGACUGAGAGGUUGAACGGCCACAUUGGGACUGAGACACGGCCCAGACUCCUACGGGAGGCAGCAGUGGGGAAUAUUGCACAAUGGGGGAAACCCUGAUGCAGCGACGCCGCGUGGAGGAAGAAGGUCUUCGGAUUGUAAACUCCUGUUGUUGAGGAAGAUAAUGACGGUACUCAACAAGGAAGUGACGGCUAACUACGUGCCAGCAGCCGCGGUAAAACGUAGGUCACAAGCGUUGUCCGGAAUUACUGGGUGUAAAGGGAGCGCAGGCGGGAAGACAAGUUGGAAGUGAAAUCUAUGGGCUCAACCCAUAAACUGCUUUCAAAACUGUUUUUCUUGAGUAGUGCAGAGGUAGGCGGAAUUCCCGGUGUAGCGGUGGAAUGCGUAGAUAUCGGGAGGAACACCAGUGGCGAAGGCGGCCUACUGGGCACCAACUGACGCUGAGGCUCGAAAGUGUGGGUAGCAAACAGGAUUAGAUACCCUGGUAGUCCACACCGUAAACGAUGAUUACUAGGUGUUGGAGGAUUGACCCCUUCAGUGCCGCAGUUAACACAAUAAGUAAUCCACCUGGGGAGUACGACCGCAAGGUUGAAACUCAAAGGAAUUGACGGGGGCCCGCACAAGCAGUGGAGUAUGUGGUUUAAUUCGACGCAACGCGAAGAACCUUACCAAGUCUUGACAUCCUGCGACGAUGCUGGAAACAGUAUUUUCCUUCGGGACGCAGAGACAGGUGGUGCAUGGUUGUCGUCAGCUCGUGUCGUGAGAUGUUGGGUUAAGUCCCGCAACGAGCGCAACCCUUACUGUCAGUUACUACGCAAGAGGACUCUGGCAGGACUGCCGUUGACAAAACGGAGGAAGGUGGGGAUGACGUCAAAUCAUCAUGCCCUUUAUGACUUGGGCUACACACGUACUACAAUGGCGUUAAACAAAGAGAAGCAAGACCGCGAGGUGGAGCAAAACUCAGAAACAACGUCCCAGUUCGGACUGCAGGCUGCAACUCGCCUGCACGAAGUCGGAAUUGCUAGUAAUCGUGGAUCAGCAUGCCACGGUGAAUACGUUCCCGGGCCUUGUACACACCGCCCGUCACACCAUGAGAGCCGGGGGGACCCGAAGUCGGUAGUCUAACCGCAAGGAGGACGCCGCCGAAGGUAAAACUGGUGAUUGGGGUGAAGUCGGAACAAGGUAGCCGUAGGAGUACCUGCGGCUG